UACGUAGGGUGCGAGCGUUAAUCGGAAUUACUGGGCGUAAAGCGUGCGCAGGCGGUUCGUUGUGUCGGUGGUGAAAGCCCCGGGCUUAACCUGGGAAUGGCCAUGGAAACUGGCGAACUGGAGUGUGGCAGAGGGGGGUGGAAUUCCACGUGUAGCAGUGAAAUGCGUAGAUAUGUGGAGGAACACCAAUGGCGAAGGCAGCCCCCUGGGUCAACACUGACGCUCAUGCACGAAAGCGUGGGGAGCAAACAGG
rnacentral:rRNA from 1 species